CCUACGGGGGGCUGCAGUGAGGAAUAUUGGUCAAUGGGCGCAAGCCUGAACCAGCCAUCCCGCGUGCAGGAAGACGGCGCUAUGCGUUGUAAACUGCUUUUCCAGGGGAAGAAAACCUGAUACGUGUAUCGGCUUGCCGGUACCCUGGGAAUAAGCAUCGGCUAACUCCGUGCCAGCAGCCGCGGUAAUACGGAGGAUGCGAGCGUUAUUCGGAUUUAAGGGGUUUAAAGGGUACUUAGGCGGAUUUGGUGAAAACCUGCAGCUUAACUGUAGAAUUGCCAUUGAUACUGUUAGUCUUGAGUACGGUCAAGGUAGGCGGAAUGUGUAAUGUAGCGGUGAAAUGCUUAGAUAUUACACAGAACACCGAUUGCGAAGGCAGCUUACUGGGCCAUUACUGACGCUGAUGCACGAAAGCGUGGGGAGCGAACAGGAUUAGAUACCCGUGUAGUC
rnacentral:rRNA from 1 species